GCACUAGUGGUUGGCUCUGGGAAGUAACAGUCACCAGAGUCUGGAAGUUCUUCGCUUGAACUUGAGUAGCCAUUGUACUAUUGGAAGCCAGAUGGCCAGGUAUUGGCAAUGGCCAGGGAAAUCCCAAGCUGGCUCAAGAGCCAGUGGUUAGGGAAGAAGAAGGUCAAGUGGACUGGUAAAAAUUCUACUUCAACUGCCCUUAUUCAUAGAUACAACUUUCCUAACAGUCUCACUCUCCACCAGUCCCAUAUCCACAACCCACUCACAGGCUUCAAGCAGCAGGACCUUGCCAUAUUACCCUAAAUCUCCAUAUUGCAGCAGCUCUACCCUGUCCCCUCAGCUUCUUCAAUAAUGACCUUUUUUAAAAUUCUCUUCCCUGACUGCUAUAUUUACACAUAAAUUUCUUAGUGUUACUGAAGCUUCAGAGCUGCUGCCUAUAUACUAUAAUGCAACAAAAAUAGCCUUGAGGGCCAAAUAUAAAUAUGAUUUCAAGAUCUACCACAGUCCUAGAAAAUAAACUUUAUGGGCUGUGAAUGGUACCAUGAGGGUUUCUCAAGAACCAUAUCUGGUUCCCUAUAUUCAGGUAACCAUGAGUUUGUGCUUUGGGAAGAAUGCAGAGGGCUAUAAAAAUUCAUGAGGCUUAUUUAAGCCUUGCCUUCUUUAAAACAUUUCAUUCUUAUUUUAGUGUUUAGUUCGGGUUCUAGUCUUAGCAGUGUCUUAUGGUUACAAUCUACUCUUCUGUUUCCUCAACAAGUUGCAAAUAACACAAACUUCUCACAAAAAUGAUUUAAAAAUGACUGGAAAAAAAUUAAUCUGAAUUGCAAAUAAAUGUGUUUGUGUAGCUCAGGAUUAAUGGGUUUCUGCUUCUCCCCCACAUCAGAGCUCUCCUCUAGCAAACCCAAUGACGAGCCCAAAGGGCUUCCGCAUCAUCUCUGUUGCAUCAAGAAGCCAAGAUGCUUCUCCUGAUAAUGUCUGUCCUUCUGCUGAUAGUGCUGCUGGGCUAUUCUGCAAAGGAUCUCGCUUAUGGGGCUUUUUCAGCGAAUGAACCAAGGAAGUACCCAUUUGUUUUCUGAAGAAUGCAGAAUGCCACUUCAAGUCCUCUAUCUUGGGAGCAUCAGGGCCAACAGAAGGACUGUUAAACAAAAGCAUGUUUUCCAGUGAGGAGGAGGAGCAGGAAGAAGGCACACCUAUAAACAUAAAACCACAAAUAAAGAAAAAUUACAGCAGAAGCAAAUCCAAAAGAAUAAAAUUCUACACCCUUAGUGUGGCCCAAUUGAUGUGAACUCCCCACCCAACAACACAACACUUACACCACCAAGUUUGUACAAAUUUGGUUUUUAUAGUGAAGAGAUUACCUGCCUUGAGAAUCUCCAUUCAAUCUGCAGACUCAAUAUGCCACAUUUUCUAAAACAGCUGAAGCUCACAUAAUUUUUCAUAAAACUAGACCUCCUCCAAACAAAAUAACUGAUCUGAUUUUCAGAGCGGACUCCAUGCAGAACCCAUCAGGUGGCUG
rnacentral:lncRNA from 1 species